rnacentral:lncRNA from 7 species
GGCUGCCGAUGCUGGAGUCGCCGCGCCGGGCUCGGCCCCACGGAGCCCCCGGUGGCGCUGUGACCCCCGCGGCUCUCGGAGCCGCGGCUGCCGGGGGAGAUGCUGGGUCGGGGCGGUCUGUGGGGAGCUCCUGUGGUUGUAGCGUCCGCUGCGGGCUGGGAGAGGACGCGGAGUGAGAGGCGCUCGGUGCCCGUGCGGAGCGGUGUGCGCCCGGUGGGAGUGCCGCGUAGCGCUCAGAUGCCAUCAAUGGCUCCAAAAUCAAGUGACUUUUCCCUCUGGGAGUGGCAGCAUUUCUACGAGCAAUGCCUACUUUGUCUGUAGGUUUUCUGACAAAGCGGAUCGGAUGGAAACUUCCCCAUCUAUCAAACGACCGGAUAAAAAGGGCACGGGAGAGUCCUGAAAGAUUUCUUGCAAGAUUUAUUUUGCUAAACGAGGAUGCAUGUAUGGGAUCCAAGAGCAACGGUGGGAUGGGAGAUGGCACGGAGCGAAGACCCCCAGAUCUCCUUAACCAUGGCUUUAAUAUACUCCUCAAAUUUGGAACAAUGAGGGAAUGAAUUUCUCAGAUGUGCAUGGUAAUCAGUGCUGAAGAAAAUUUCUGCCCAGGACUUCAUCUGGAGUUUCUGACAUCUCCUGCCUAUGUGUAGGGGUGAGAGGAGCUGGAAAAGCUGCUGUGCCAUAGCCAUAAACUUCAGUGUUCCACUGUUGUGAUGAUAAGACAAAGGAAACCUGUUAGAUGUGGCGUAGUAUUCCUUUAGACACGUGCAUAGCUGAACAGAAGAUGUUGCUAUCCAACUCUGUGUCACAGGCUCUGCAUCCUGCCCGCCCUCCCCUAACACUGCAGAUACAGGUAGAGCAAACCCCAAGGGCAGGCAGCGCCUGCAUCCACCACUGUCACAUGGAUACCCCUCCCACCAUUGCCUGGCAAUAAAAAUGCAGUUCUGAAAAAGAAAAGCGGUGUUAUGCAAAUAUGAAGCAUGGGAGGAAGGAUUUAAUGUGAGACAAUGGUCCCUUAAUGAAAGGCACAAACAUCAGUCACUCACGGCUGAAUGAGUUGAUCUGGAGCUGGGUGGAGUGACAGCCCAGAAAGCUUCAC